GCUAGUGUGGCAGAGCUUGGCAAAUGCAAAAGACUUAAACCCUUUACUCAGAGGUUCAAAUCAUCUCCCUAGCU
rnacentral:tRNA from 1 species